rnacentral:tRNA from 1 species
UCCCUGGUGGCUCAGUGGUAAAGAAUCUGCCUGCCAAUGCAGGAGACAUGGGUUCAACCCCUGGUCAGGGAA